CCUACGGGUGGCAGCAGUGAGGAAUAUUGGUCAAUGGACGAGAGUCUGAUCCAGCCAAGUAGCGUGAAGGAUGACUGCUUUCUGGGUUGUAAACUUCUUUUAUAAAGGAAUAAAACGAGGCACGUGUGCCUUUUUGCAUGUCCUUUAUGAAUAAGGAUCGGCUAAUUCCGUGUCAGCAGCCGCGGUAAUCCGGAGGUUCUGAGCGUUCUCCGGAUUUAUUGGGUGUAAAGGGAGCGUAGAUGGGUUGGUAAGCCAGUUGUGAAAGUUUGCGGCUCAACCGUAAAAUUGCAAUUGAUACUGGCAGGCUGGAGUACAGUAGAGGUAAGCGGAAUUCGUGGUGUAGCGGUGAAAUGCGUAGAUAUCACGAAGAACCCCGAUUGCGAAGGCAGCUUACUAAACUGUAACUGACAUUGAUGCUCGAAAGUGUGGGUAUCAAACAGGAUGAGAUACCCGAGUAGUC
rnacentral:rRNA from 1 species